rnacentral:rRNA from 1 species
CCUACGGGGGGCAGCAGUGAGGAAUAUUGGUCAAUGGACGAGAGUCUGAACCAGCCAAGUAGCGUGAAGGAUGACUGCCCUAUGGGUUGUAAACUUCUUUUAUAUGGGAAUAAAACGUUCCACGUGUGGGAUUUUGUAUGUACCAUAUGAAUAAGGAUUGGCUAACUCCGUGCCAGCAGCCGCGGUAAUACGGAGGAUCCGAGCGUUAUCCGGAUUUAUUGGGUUUAAAGGGAGCGUAGGUGGAUUGUUAAGUCAGUUGUGAAAGUUUGCGGCUCAACCGUAAAAUUGCAGUUGAAACUGGCAGUCUUGAGUACAGUAGAGGUGGGCGGAAGUCGUGGUGUAGCGGUGAAAUGCUUAGAUAUCACGAAGAACUCCGAUUGCGAAGGCAGUUCACUGGACUGCAACUGACACUGAGGCUCGAAAGUGUGGGUAUCAAACAGGAUUAGAUACCCUAGUAGUC